rnacentral:sRNA from 1 species
AGACCAUCGGCUGCCCUAAUGGUUACGUAGGGAGGAGUUGUGUCCGGCUUAGUCCGAGCGUACCGGGUACAAAUCCCGGGGGGUUGAGAAGAGCGGCUCCCGCCAAGUGCAUUUGCAGUCAGGAUUCUCUACCCUCCCCGGGUAAAGCCAGCUCAUGGUCUGCUCUUUU